rnacentral:sRNA from 1 species
CUCUCCAGCCCACUGAGCCAUCUCUCCAGCCCCCAGCUACAUGCAAUUUAAACUUAUGAAUUAUUGUCAAAUUCUUCACCAAUGAGAUAAUCUAGUUUAUAACUGUAUUUAUAAUGUGUGGGUUUCUGGUUCUGAGUACUGGCUUUUUAACCACUGAUCCUAAACAAGUUUGAGAGGAGCACCUACACUACAGUUUUAUUUUCAAAGUACAAAAAACUUUGACCCCUUUGUUUGCCUGCUCAUACAGAGUUUACUGGGGUGACUAGCAACUUUAGUGAGGCUCAGUUAACCUUCCCAAUUCUUGACUGAGCAUUUCUCCCAAAGGCAAAAGCAUCUUUUUUUCUACUUUCUUUGUCAAAGUCAAGGAUUUACACAUUGGAGUCACUUAGUUUAUCCACUUUGUAGGACUAUGGGCAAGGACUAUGUGCUGGAAAGGGAAGGGGUAUUCAAGUCACAGCCCUGGAGCCUGGAGCCUGGCCUAGAAUCCUAAUCACGGACUGUGUGCAUGCAUAUAGACCUGAAUAGUCAGUAAGUGCUCAGGGCCUGAUGUCAAGGCAGGGCUUGAGCUGGGAAACUAAAACCUGCGCAACACUGUUCCACACUUUAUGUACCAACAAUUCCACACAGUAAGCACAAUAACUGGGUCUAAAACUUAGCUACUAUUCUUUUGUUCCUACUUUCCCAUCCACACGUCCUCAGUCACGGGGUUUCAGAAAUUAUUUAAGGCAAUAAUAGAGUUAGAAAGAAUGCCACAGUUUAGAGAAGGAAACCUAGCCCAGAUUUAAAAGCAGGGUUCGAAGAAGUUCCUCACAAUCAUGCUGCCUAACACUGGAGUUAUUUGGAACAUAGUUGGCUACAAAGGCAGUCCCUGGCACUUCUUGAUUUUAAAAUCACUUUGACCUGGAUGGCUUAUUUUUAUCUUCUCUUGACACAGAAGCCUGCAGUUGACAUGUAUGAGAACCCUUGCUAGGUGUAUCACACCUGCACAGCACAGGAGUGUUCCUGGGCCACUGAUGACAGAGAAAAGCAGCACUGACAAAGUGCCCUCUGCGGUGUGGCUUUGGGUUAGCAUUAACUAGCUCAGUGUCAAAGCCCCUCUGUGCCUCGAAUUUCAUCAGCAGGACCAUAAUAGUAGUGUUGUUAUCUACUGUUGCUAACAAAUGUUAUGAUGACUCCUAAAUAAAAGAAAAAGGUUAUCCUGGCUUUACACUGGAGUGUUCAGCCUGUGCCUGGGUAGCCCUGAUUGCUUCAGGCCCGUGGCAGGCAACACAGAACAAUGGCAGUGUGCAGCAGGACAAAACCUCUUAUUUCAAGGGCCAGGGGGCAAAAGAUGGUAAGAAUAGACCUGGGGGUCCCAUCAUCUCACACCCUCAGUAACCUAAAGAUCACUUGUUACAUCCCAGCUCUUAAAGUUUCUACCUCUUUCCAAUAUGGGAGGGACCCUAGUUUUACUACAAAGGUCUUUGGUGGACACUUUACAACUGCGUAUUGUAUGGCUGACAGUGUAUUAGCCUUAAUCCCAGCACGCAGGAGGCCGAAGCAGAAGAAUUAAGAGUUUGAGAUCAGCCUGGGCUACAUAUAGCAAAUACAAGGUUAGGCCUGCUGGCUACAGUGAGACCCCUGUCUAAAAAAAAAAAAGCAACAAAAAUAAAAAACAAACCCCAAAACAAAACAAUAACAAAACACCAUCCAAACUAUAGCAUAUAAUCACCUCACAAGAUCCUUACAAUAAAUGGGUGUCCCACACGACAUCCUCAGCACACGGUGCAAAUAAGCAUAAUUAUGCUAAUUACUAUGUUUAUCAGCAGUGCUCCUGUACAUCUUUUAAAUGUCCUUACUGCUGUCUUUGUUUUCGUUUGUACUCAUGUUUGUUCAACCAAUUUCUCUUGGUCAGCACUUAUGCUCCAAGCUUUCUGGGCCAUGAGUAAUAAAGAACUGACCCAUUUUUGACUUCCUGCAAGUAAGAAGGAGAACAGACACCAAACUGGGCUCCAAAAGAGGCAACUGGAUGUGCACUGUUCUCUUGGAGGGAGGGAGGGACCACGUUCUGAGGAACCCAGAGCAAUAUGGGAAGACCAUGUCCCAGAAGAGAAAAUAGGGCAGGAUGCUGAGAAAGGGGGAGCUGGGCAGGAAGAGGAUACUGGGAAAGGAGGGGCUGACAUAUAUGAGGCCUUGAAGCCAUCUGAGGGUCCUAGGAAUGGGUAUGGAGCAGGAGUCUGUGAUGCAUCAUAUCUGGCUUGGUAUAAGGGACUGACUGCCUGUUAUCCCAGAACUUGGGGCAGAGGUUUCACUGCCAGCCUGGCCAAUCAGUGAGAAGUGUAUUUAAAAAAAAAAAAAAGCGAAACUGGUUAAAAGUUCAUAGACUAAGCAACUGUGGAAUGCUCCACCUUAAAUAGGUCAUCUAUAUUACCCAUCCCCCAGGGCUCAAAGAACACUGCAAAAGAGAGGAAGACUGUGAAGCAGUGUCCUCUGGAUAUGACACAGCAUGCAUGAAUUCACUGCGGCUGCAGUUAUUUACAUCAGAUCUAUGCACACGCGGUCUUUCAACAUCUUUUAAUGGAUGGGAGAAGAGCCCUUAAGAGCCCAUAGGUGACUCUUGACAGUUAACAGUGGCUGAAGAAUGGACGUCACUUUGGUGGUAUAGUCAUUGGCCACCUGUGGACCACAGAGACCUGGGCCAAGGCACAGAGAAGCUGGUAUGCACAUGCUUUGGCCAUGUUUGAGAUGCAGAGUCAGCCACAAGAUUGAGCUGCAGUGCACAUGCUUGGUCACAGCCUGGGAGGCUCCCAGAUCCAUAGGAGACCACAGGUGGGUGAGAAAAUUGCCUUUGUUACAAAAAGACCCAUACCUUUAGUAGCAUGUCGCUAGCUACAUUAGGGAGCAGGGCAGAAGUGUCUUCAUAUCUUACUCCACAACUCUAGUGUUUAUAGUUCCCCAAAACUAUAACCAUAAAACAAUCAAGAAUAUUAAUUUUCGAUCAGUUUGAACUUUACAUCCAGGAGAAACUGGCCAGUGUAUCUUGAUGUGGGUCCUCCAGCAUCUACAUCCCUCCUUAGUCUGAUUUCAGGCUCUCUCUUAGAACUGUGCUUGGCCUUCUGUUUCUCCUGCCAACUGCUUCCCACCCUUCCUUCCUCCCUUAGUGCUUUUGUCUGUCUGGGCACUCUUCUCCAUAGCUGCAUCCACAACCCAUUGUCACAGGUUCCUGGGUUAGGUCACUUCUCACCCUUCCACACUUCUUAGAGCUGAAUGCACCUGCCAGCUGCUUCCUGCUGAUGGCUCCUGUACCCUCCUGGAUAUCAACACUCUAGCUUUGCCCUGCUGUUUACUCUUGAGUUCAUGUAGCCCAUUCCUGUACCUUUAGGUAAAGAUGGCUAUCACAGAGGUCUGUGACAUUCAAUAUGUUUUUAAACAAUGCCUACUUCUCACUGUUCCUUCGGCUGACUGGGGAAACUACUUUGGUUUAGGAGUUGUUUUUAUAAUUUAGUGAUUUGUAGGAUUUUUUACAAAGUAGAUCAACUAAAUAACAUGUUUUCAAGGCUGGCUUCACCAAAGGGAAGUGCACUCCUUAGGGAGAGACUACAGCCAUGAAAAACAGUGAAGAAAUAGGAAGGUUAAGGGGGAGACUAGAGUAGCAUCAGGACCUGUGGGAAAGGGGAUGAAGCAGAGCCUCUGAAGUCAGGGAAACAGCAUUCUGAAAUCCACACUUCCAGUGUCUGUGGACCCCACUAGGGUGCCUCACGGCUCCUCACAUACCAGGGAUUAAAACUCAGCUAACCCCGGCACACUAAAAUGCCUCAGUCACCUAGUGUCCACUCCUCUUGGUGUCUAUGACUGCCCACUUGGACAAACAGGACUAGGAAGGCAAAGGCUCUUCUUUCCUAUCUCUUUCCAUACCCCAAGAUAGCAGCUGGGCCUCUCACUCCUUUAACGUCACACUCACUCUGGCUUGACCUCUGACAAUACCUUUAGCCUCCCUGACUCUAUUUUACUUCAUUCUCGGAUCUGUUUUCCUCCAGUUAUGAAAUGUUUUGAACAAUGUAGCCAACACUUUAUGAUCUCUACCCACAUUCGUAUUAACCUUCCUCCUUUGCCCAGAACUUUCUCUGUCCAUCUGUCCCACAUUGCUCAGCUAUCGAACACUGUCUUCAGCUAAAGCACAGACCUUCUCCUAGGAAGCUACAAGUUGGAAUUCCAGUCCUCUUGAUAGUGAUUCUAUUGAGUAAAGGUAAGGGGAAAUUAUUUUUCAAUGUUCUCAAAAGUACAUGUUAGCUAUUAAAAAGAAUCAAUGUUUAUCAAGUACCCAGGUUGGGUAGAAGCUUCAUGUGUAUUGUGUCAUUAAAUCCUCAUAGUAAGUAACCUUAACAUAACUGCAACAUUCUCUCUUCAUGAACACUUUCGUUUAGCAGAUGGAACAAACGUGAAGUCAAAACCCAUCUUCCACUCCUGCAGCACAUCUUUAUUAGUGCAACUUUCAGAACACAGUCAGCCUUCCACAGCUUCUCCUGAACAUGGUCACUAGCACUGGGGGCUUCCCAAUACCCCUUUAGUGUGACUCUCUUUAGUGUAUCUUCCAACAUCACCCUGUAGAGAAGUCUGCACAGGUCCGGGUUCUCACAGCCUAUUACUCAUUUGUGUAACAAAUAUUUAUAGUGUUAGGCAAUGUGCCAAAUGUAGAUGUAAUAGUGAUAAAUACAGUCAUGGCUCUCGCCAUCCAGACAGCUUAGGAGAGGAAAGAAACUAGCAAAAGAAAAAGAGAGAGGAAGAAUUGUGGUAAUAGAGAAAACGCAAGGUGAUGUCAGGCCACAAAGGAAUGGUAUUGUACCUAGACAUCAAGGCUCUCAAAAGGCAAUUCCAGAAAUAACAUCUAAGAUGAGAAGAAGAAUGGGAAUUACCAGAGGUUAGGGUAGGAUUGGUGGGAGGAACAGUUCUACACAGAUCACAGCAGAGCAGAGGCAGGAGGAUUUGAGAUGAAUUAAGACAUGUUUAAAGAACAGACAGAAGCCCAGUAAGGCUGGAAUGCAGUAUGGAGAAAACACAGUAGAGGAAGGGAAGGGAAAGGAAGGUAGUGAGGGACAAGAUAGGAGAUGGGAUGGGUGAUGAGACAGGUCUUCUCAGUUCCAUUUGAAAGCCCAGCUCUACAGUUUGGUGGACUGAUGCAAAGGAAUCCCAGCACUGGCGAGGUAGAGGAAGGAGAAUCAGGAGUUCAAGGUCAUCCUCAGCUAUACAAUAAGUUCAAGUCUAGCUAGUGAGGUGCAGGUGCAGGGUGGGUAAUCACAGCUUUGGGAUGCGGGCUUAGCUCAAAGGUUGUCUAGCAUGUGCAAGGCCCUGGUAUAGUGAGAAUCUGAAAUUUUGGUUUCUUUAAAAAACAGAAAUAUAAAUAAGAAAUAUUUUUGUUUUAAUCCCAGGUGUGUGGAUACCGGGCUGCUUCGCAGCAGCUGACCAUGGUUUGCCUCCUGCCUAGCAGAGCCGGUUUUGCCAGCUGCAGGUAAUUAUUGCAACUGCGUAACAUUUGGGAUUCUGGGAACUUUUCAGAGGGUCUAUGAAUGUUAGGGCCCUGAGAAGUGAGGUUGGUGAUUGGUGGUAGUUCAGGGGGAUUGGUUGUCGUUUAUAAAUACUCAUAUUCAAAGGAAAAACAAAAAAGAAAUUAGAUUCAAGGAUCUUUAUUUCUCUCCUGUCCAUCCUUCUUUGUCCUCUAGUUAGUAAAUAGGGAAUGAAACCAGGGACAGGGGGAGGAAGAGUGAAAAAAGAAGAACCCACAAAAUAGCAAAGACCCAGCUACACCCUAGAAUUAAUCCUUGCACUGUUAAAUAAGUAAAUUUUAUUCCAAGGGCAAGGUAAAGACAUGGAGGGAUUUGGGUUCAGCACUUUGGAAAGCAUUGAGUCUGCAGCCAGUGUUGAGAGAUGGCUGCACCCAUGGGACUUCGCUAAGACUAAAGCUGUAGCCCAUGUGACCAGAUUUAGAGUUAUGUGGGUUUAUGCUGGGACGCGUUCAGCUGUGACUGACGGAGUCAAGAUGCUGUGGAGAGACAGGCAAAGAGUGAUUGCACCUCUGACUUGGACUGGGUUGUUGAUAAAUUUCUUGAAACAGCAACACCUUUUAGUAAGUAAUUGCCACAAUCCAGGGCAGCUGUAUGAACAAUACUCUGGGGCUGACAUCUUAAAUUUACUUCUCUUUUAUUUCUUCUGCAUUUAUAAACAACAGCAGAUACUCUCUGGAUUUGUAAAUACAGAAAUGUGACUUUAUAAGAUAAUUCGGGAAUAAGGAGGAUAAACACAGGACCUACUUAAUCAGAGUAACUAUUAGUUGGCUGUUAAAAGAGCCGAGUAAUUUGGAAUGACGAAAGCAAGCCUAAGAAUUAACAGGCUAGUUUAAAUGAAGACAUUCUUCUUUCAAGUGGGAUACAUUACAAAUUAAGACAUAAUGAAUCACUCUUAAAAAUUACUGUGGGAUUGCUGUAUUACCUAAUAAAAGUUGCCUUGGUGUAACCCUAAUUGUAAUAAUAAAUAAACCCCAAGCUUCACCCUGGCUGAG